UACGAAGGGGGCUAGCGUUGUUCGGAAUCACUGGGCGUAAAGGGCGCGUAGGCGGCCGAUCAAGUCGGGGGUGAAAGCCUGUGGCUCAACCACAGAAUUGCCUUCGAUACUGGUUGGCUUGAGACCGGAAGAGGUAAGUGGAACUGCGAGUGUGGAGGUGAAAUUCGUAGAUAUUCGCAAGAACACCAGUGGCGAAGGCGGCUUACUGGUCCGGUUCUGACGCUGAGGCGCGAAAGCGUGGGGAGCAAACAGG
rnacentral:rRNA from 1 species